rnacentral:rRNA from 1 species
UCCCGGCGGUCCAAGUCGCAUCCACAAUUAUUGGGUCUAAAACAUCCGUAGCUUGCUUUGUAAGUUUCUUGUGAAAUCUCACAUCUUAAGUGUGAGGCGUGCAAGAAAUACUACAAAGCUAGAGACCGGAAGACGCAAAGAGUAUGUUCGAGGUAGUGGUAAAAUAUGUUAAUCUCGAUCAGACUAACAAUGGCGAAGGCACUUUGCGAGUACGGAUCUGACAGUGAGGGAUGAAGGCUAGGGGC